CAUAGACAAUUCAUACCGUAGACCGAAAGCCAAAAUCUGCUUUAUCAUCUGUGUGCCUGAGUAUUGGACAGUUUGUACCAUUGAUUAUCAUCUGCAUGGAAUGAAUUGUUCAUGUACCAGUUAAUCACAGUACUGAUGUGCAGUAUGCUGCUGCUGACGACACCCUCAUAACAAAAGUGCCUAAAUCAUUAUUUUCAAGUUUUGAGAUUUUCUGCGUAACUCAUUUCUUAUAUCAGUAUACUGCCCUCUGUAUAUUAUCUAAGUCAUUGAUAUACAUUUGCACAUGCUCAGACCGAUUUUUUGUGUUUCUGCCUAAGUCAGUUGUGUGACAAUUUUCACACUGUUAAAAUGGCACACAUGGUAAAUUCUCAUCAAAGAAAAGUCCCUAUUAAUGACGUUCUUGCUAUGCUGGACAUUUGUCUGAUUCAAGUGGUAAGCUGUUAAUGAUACAUUAUAGAUUACAACUAGCCUCAUUCUUUGGUGAUAAUAUUAUUUUAUUAUUGUGUAAAAUGUAAAUAAAAUUAGUCCUAGUAACAUAACGCAGGGGGCCUAGACUCCAGUGAGUGUAGGGCGUACAGGCGUUAUUAGCCUUGAAUGCAUUUGAGCCAAGACUGGCUCGGCGUGGGCUAGGACUAGGCCUGUUGUAGUUAGGUAAGCCUAGGCUUUAGUUAUCUUUAUAUUAUGGGGUUUGUGAGUAAAUAAAAAUGAAUAUUUUAUGACAGAGGUCUAUAAUUAAUAGUAGGCCUAUAAUAAUACUUAUACUAGUAUUUAAACAGUUUUGUUUUAUUUAUAUUUUAUAAUAUUUUGAAAUUACAACUAAAAAUGCAAUGAUUUUUUAUUUUAAGAAUCGGAUGAUUCAGAUCUUGACCCUGACUUUGUCCCUGAUGGUAAACCUAAUGGUGAGACAACGGCAUCUGAUAUAUUGUUGAGAGACAUGAUGAGCGUGAUGAACAUGCAUAAAUUGAUCCAGUUGUACCAAUUAAGUUAGGUCAACCAGAGCAACAAGAUGGAGAAGAUGACAAUAAUGAAGACCAACCAGAGCAGGAAGACCGAGAGGAUGAAAAUAAUUAAGACCAACCAGAGCAGGCAGAUGGAGAGGAUGACAAUAAUUAAGACCAACCAGAUCAGGCAGAUGGAGAGGAUGACAAUAAUUAAGACCAACCAGAGCAAGAAGACGGAGAGGAUGACAAUACUGGUGUACUGGUGAUUGUGAAGCGUCAUAAACGCCCAUCAACUCACAUUUGAAACCAAAAUGUGUACAAAAAGGGCUGCCUGGAAGGAAAAGCUUACAAAAACAGAAGAGGAGUUGAAAAACCUGAAAAAAAGACGGGAAAUGCAUGCAAUUCUAACUUCUGUAGAAAAUCCAAAUUGAGAGAUUACCAAUCUUUGGAUGAGGAUAAACGGAGCUGGAUCUUCCAACAUUUUUUUUGACAUGAAAUCAUGGAAUGAACGCCGUUUUACGUCCGAACAUUAGUGUCCAAGGUUGACAUAACACAAAAAAAGAUCCCUGUAGAUCAGUCAAGAAGAAAGUAUUCUUUUUCCUACAAACUCCAGCUGCAGGAUGGAACAUCUGUUCAGGUUUGCAAGUCCAUGUUUGCAUCAACCCUUGGCCUUUCUCAGAGGACUGUUGCUGAUUGGCUAACCAACAACGAUGAUGCCCCAGAAGUUGAAAAUCCACAUAGGCAUCGUAAAGGCAAGACUGCAUACGUGGAAAGCAAAGACAUGGACUACCUUAAGAAGUGGCUAGCUGAUCUACCAUCUGUGCCAUCCCACUAUUGUAGAAAUACUGCCACUUAUAGAAAUAAGAAAUUCUUAUACCCGGGCACAACACUCGCCAAGCUCCACCCAGAGUACAAAAUGGAUGCAGAGAGUGCCGGUUAUCGAGCAGUGUGCCAAACACGUUUUAGCCAAAUUUUUAAUGAUGAGAAAUUUUUUGGUAUUUAUACCAAGAAAAGAUCAGUGCAAUGUUUGCGUCAGCGCGAAGCAUGCCGCUACACACAAGGCACAUAUUUUAGCUAAAGAUCAAGCAAAAAAGGAAAAAGCUGAUGACAAAGAUGCAGCUAAUGAUGAAGUGUCCAUGUGGACUAUGGACUUACAGGCGGUCCUAUUAUGUCCCAGAACAAAAGCUAGUACAAUGUAAAUGUAAAAACUAAAUUCACAAUUUUACAUUGUAUGAUUUGAAAAGUAAGGAAGGCUACUGCUAUACAUGGGAAGAACAUGAAGGAGAUUUAAGCAGUGAGGUAUUUGCAUCUAUG